ensembl:lncRNA
CUGACAGCCUCUCGAGGCACACCAGUGUGCCGCGGCAAAAAAAUAAAAAUAAAACUGCAUUAGACGUAGAAAAUGAUCAAAUCCCUAAUAACAAGUCUGGGAGGUUUACAGAGUUAGCUAGUUUGUUUUUAGUAAUUUUGCAACAGCAGACAGGAUCUCCGUGGAGGAUGUCUUGCUUGCCCGCUCUCCUCUUGAUGAGGUAGCAGGGAGAAGACGGUAAAAGGAUCCACAGACCCACCACAGCCACUGGACACUAACCAGCAUCGCUGCAAGUCAUCUGUCAGUCACUUGACACAUCAGAGACAGUGUAUGCUUCUUUCUCCACUUUGCAUCUACACAGUCUCAAAAUGUGCAAGCUCACUCUAACUGCUGCUCUCUGUUUGAUCAUCGCCAGCUUGGGUGUACCUGGCUUUGCGAGAAAUCUUCGAGUUUACAAAACAUCACAUGGAAACCCUUGUUAUGGAAGACAAGAUGGGCUGUACCCCAACCCCAAUGAUCAGCACUCGUAUUACAACUGUGUUUGGGGACGCACCUACAUCCAAAAGUGCCCAGAACAUUUGGUGUAUAGGCAUUCCAUAACUGCUUGUUACUAUCCUGGAUCACCUGUAACAGGCAGUUCAUCUCAUGAAAUCUGUGAUCCCAUGACUACAACCAGUACUCCCACCAUGACUCCCAUGACCACCAGUCGCCCCACCACAACAAUUGCAACAACAACUCACCGUACGACAACAACAAACACGCCCACUACCACCACUAACACCCACCCAGAGCCACCUACUAAAUCAUUUGCACACAUCAGUUAUGGAAAGGCAGGCAGAUACGUUCCUCAUCCAACGGACCCAACACGAUAUAUCCAAUAGGCCAUACAAGGAAGAGUUUUCAUCCAGUCGUGCUCAGCGGGUUUGACCUUUAAACCGGCAUUCAGUGUCUGUACUU